GGAAAGCACGGUAAGCGUUGACUUUGGAGUUGAGAUCUGCUUUUGUGUUCUCUCUUAACUACUUACCAGCUCUCCUUGUUCUAUGAGAAUAUCAGAGGCCAUGGCUAGGGUGGAGGCCUCUCUGUCCCUUCUGAGCAGCAGUGAGCUACCUGCAGAAGUCUCUGAUCCCAGGUUCGGACCCAAGCUUCCUACACCAGACCAGAAGCCAGGAAAAUGAAUACAAUAAAGAAGGAAAUGGAAAAUGCA
rnacentral:lncRNA from 12 species